rnacentral:rRNA from 1 species
UACAGAGGUCUCAAGCGUUGUCCGGAUUUAUUGGGCGUAAAGAGCUCGUAGGCGGCUCGUCGCGUCGACCGUGAAAACCCGCAGCUUAACUGCGGGCUUGCGGUUGAUACGGGCGGGCUAGAGUUCGGUAGGGGAGACUGGAAUUCCUGGUGUAGCGGUGAAAUGCGCAGAUAUCAGGAGGAACACCGGUGGCGAAGGCGAGUCUCUGGGCCGAUACUGACGCUGAGGAGCGAAAGCGUGGGGAGCGAACAGG